rnacentral:misc_RNA from 1 species
GAUGAAGAACGUAGUGAAAUGCGAUAAGUAAUGUGAAUUGCAGAAUUCAGUGAAUCAUCGAAUCUUUGAACGCACAUUGCGCCCGCCAGUAUUCUGGCGGGCAUGCCUGUUCGAGCGUCAUUACAACCCUCAGGCCCCCGGGCCUGGCGUUGGGGAUCGGCGUAGCCCCCCGUGGGCACACGCCGUCCCCCAAAUGCAGUGGCGGUCCCGCCGCAGCUUCCAUCGCGUAGUAGCUAACACCUCGCGACUGGAGAGCGGCGCGGCCACGCCGUAAAACACCCAACUCUUCUGAAGUUGACCUCGAAUCAGGUAGGAAUACCCGCUGAACUUAAGCAUAUCAAUAAGCGGAGG